UACGGCUGCCGUAGGCCCUGAAAGCUAGUGGCGGGCUCGCUAUAACUCCGAGCGUAGUAGUAAAAUAUCUCGCUAGGGAGGUGUCGCGGGUUCCGGCCGUGAAAGCCCAUCUUUUACACAAGGUUGACCUCGGAUCAGGUAGGAAUACCCGCUGAACUUAAGCAUAUCAAUAAGCGGAGGAAAAGAAACCAACAGGGAUUGCCCCAGUAACGGCGAGUGAAGCGGCAACAGCUCAAAUUUGAAAUCUGGCUUCGGCCCGAGUUGUAAUUUGUAGAGGAUGCUUUUGGUGAGGUGCCUUCUGAGUUCCCUGGAACGGGACGCCAGAGAGGGUGAGAGCCCCGUAUAGUUGGACACCGAGCCUCUGUAAAGCUCCUUCGACGAGUCGAGUAGUUUGGGAAUGCUGCUCAAAAUGGGAGGUAUAUCUCUUCUAAAGCUAAAUACUGGCCAGAGACCGAUAGCGCACAAGUAGAGUGAUCGAAAGAUGAAAAGCACUUUGAAAAGAGGGUUAAAUAGUACGUGAAAUUGUUGAAAGGGAAGCGCUUGUGACCAGACUUGUGCCCGGCUGAUCAUCCAGUGUUCUCACUGGUGCACUCUGCCGGGCUCAGGCCAGCGUCGGUUCUCGCAGGGGGACAAAAGCUUCGGGAACGUAGCUCCUCCGGG
rnacentral:rRNA from 1 species